AGCGAACGCUGGCGGCAGGCCUAACACAUGCAAGUCGAACGGAUCCUUCGGGAUUAGUGGCGGACGGGUGAGUAACACGUGGGAACGUGCCCUUUGGUUCGGAACAACUCAGGGAAACUUGAGCUAAUACCGGAUGUGCCCUUCGGGGGAAAGAUUUAUCGCCAUUGGAGCGGCCCGCGUCUGAUUAGCUAGUUGGUGGGGGAAAGGCCCACCAAGGCGCAGAUGAGUAGCUGGUCUGAGAGGAUGAUCAGCCACAUUGGGACUGAGACACGGCCCAAACUCCUACGGGAGGCAGCGGUGGGGAAUCUUGCGCAAUGGGCGAAAGCCUGACGCAGCCAUGCCGCGUGAAUGAUGAAGGUCUUAGGAUUGUAAAAUUCUUUCACCGGGGACGAUAAUGACGGUACCCGGAGAAGAAGCCCCGGCUAACUUCGUGCCAGCCGCCGCCGUAA
rnacentral:rRNA from 1 species